UGAAAAGGAGGGGACCUAUAAUGGACCCUUGGGGAACCCCGCAUGUGAUUUUUGUCAUCUCUGAUGUAAAGUUGUGACAACCUGCUUGUUGCACAGAGCUGGCUGCACUGUUUUCCUCUCUCCCUCUAACCUCCUGUCCUCUCACAGCCCAAGACACGCCCUGGCCACGCCCCCAACCACAUGCACUCACCUGAUUUGUCCGCAGUUCAAGAUGGCUCCCUACUCCAGUUUCAAAAAUGUCAGUGUCUCAACAGACAAGAGACAGACAACUGCGACCAAAUCAAGUCAGACAGAGGCUUUAAAAAUAAGUAAUCCGAGGCUGUUUAACCCCUCAGGCUGUAUUUUAUGAAUUCUCUUUGCUACAUAGAUUUUUCUGUCAUGGAUCAUUUAAAUAUAAGCCAAACAAUAAAUAAUACAUCCAUUUCUGUGCUCCUGCCCUGCCGUCGUGUCACCUGAAGCUGAUGACGUCACAGAUACAAAAUCUCCCUGAAAGCAACAAAAGAAAACCUGUCCCUGCUUCUGCUGUGUGCCAGAUUUCCAUCUCCUGAUCUCUCUUGCUGUGGGGCAAUUUGUGUUGGAGCCUGCCUACUUGGGAGGAAACAAGGAAAUUAUUUUUGUGGGGAAGGGAUUUUCGUUUAUUUUUGAAUGGACAUUUACAAAAUACAAAAAACUGUGGAACAAACAUUUCUGUUGUUGGUGUUAUGUGUAAAACAAUUGUCUGUCAUUCAUUGUACUUAAGGGUCUACACCUUGAAGUGUAUGGUCCUUGUGUGACUGGUAAAAAAAAAAAAAACUAAACUUAAAAUCCUACUUGUCAGGAGGGAUACCUGACUGGCACCCCUAUAGAGACUACACCAAUCUAUUUGAGCCCAUUGUUAUUGAUGAUGACGAUGAGAUUGAAGAUUUAGCAGAAGACAAAAAACAGGACCUGCCCCCUGAAGAACAUGUAGAAACAAAUGUGCAGCCACAGGAUUUCAUUGCUGAACUGGCCAUGUAUACUGACCACACGAAAGUCAGCCGGUUCAAUAUAUGUUGGACUGAUGUGUGGGAUGGAGCUGUUCGGGGCUUUAAGCGGAGCACAUACUCCGACAAGAACGACAUGUUCAUCAGAUUUAAUGAUGAUGCUGGCUGUUUGGAGGAAGGGUUGGACGCAGGUGGCCCGAGGCGUGAGUUUCUCACGCUUCUUAUGGCCAUUCUGAGAAAUUGCCCGAUCUUUGAUGGACCCCCCGAAAGCCGUUACAUUGUGUGCAAUUCUAGAGCUGCCAGGGAAGAUGAGUUUUUUUUUAGCAGGAAAGAUGAUCGCUGUAUUGAUAGUACAUGGGGGACCAGCACCACAUUUCCUUGCAAAGAACGUCGUCAACUACAUGAUAGGGAAUCCCAGUUUCAGCGCCAAUAUUGAAGAUGUUAAAGAUGAGGAAAUAGGGGAAGUUUUAAAACAGAUCCUGGAAGCUGAAUCAGAUGAGUCUUUACGAAAUGUAAUUUUGCAAAACAGCGGGAUGUUCCAAACUGCUGGCUGCUUCAGAGAUGUGAAGACUUCUGAGAAGAAAGCUUUUGUAGAGGAAUAUCUUAGAUGGUACAUCCUUGAGAGAAACCACAGUGCCAUUCAACGGAAGAAACAGAAACAAAAUAUGUGAGGAUAAACA